AGAAGCAGCCCUAUUUUGGCAAAGAAGAAUGAAACAUCUCAGAGGCAGAGAUCCAAAUACACUUGACCCUUGAACAAUGCAAGAGGUAUAUCACUGAACAGCCCUGAACAUGGUGAGUCUAAAGAACAAAAGAGUAAAAGGAAACAAGCCCUGGGCUUCUUCCCAAUAUGCCAGGAAAGAAACAGCAGCAGGACUUUAAGAACACUGGAAAUUGGUAGGACAAUGACCUGUUUAUAAAACUCAGUUUAUUCUUAAAGAAACACUUGAUUCUAUUUCUCUUGAUAUCUCAAACUUUGCUAACUUCUAAAGAUGGCCAUUCAAAAAGAGCACGUCUAGUCAUCAUUCGCUUUGUGUGGAAAAACAUUUUUUACUCUACUUCAAAUAAAGAUGGAGCACCUUAUCUAUGAACAAACCA